CUCAGAACGAACGCUGGCGGCAUGCCUAACACAUGCAAGUCGAACGAACCCUUCGGGGUUAGUGGCGCACGGGUGCGUAACGCGUGGGAACCUGCCUUUUGGUUCGGAAUAACAGUGAGAAAUUACUGCUAAUACCGGAUAAUGUCUUCGGACCAAAGAUUUAUCGCCAUUAGAUGGGCCCGCGUAAGAUUAGCUAGUUGGUGGGGUAAAGGCCUACCAAGGCGACGAUCUUUAGCUGGUCUGAGAGGAUGAUCAGCCACACUGGGACUGAGACACGGCCCAGACUCCUACGGGAGGCAGCAGUGGGGAAUAUUGGACAAUGGGCGAAAGCCUGAUCCAGCAAUGCCGCGUGAGUGAUGAAGGCCUUAGGGUUGUAAAGAUCUUUUACUGGGGAUGAUAAUGACAGUACCCAGAGAAUAAGCUCCGGCUAACUCCGUGCCAGCAGCCGCGGUAAUACGGAGGGAGCUAGCGUUGUUCGGAAUUACUGGGCGUAAAGCGCACGUAGGCGGCUUUUUAAGUCAGGGGUGAAAUCCCGGGGCUCAACCCCGGAACUGCCCUCGAAACUGGGAAGCUAGAAUCUUGGAG
rnacentral:rRNA from 1 species